rnacentral:rRNA from 1 species
UGCUCAGGACGAACGCUGGCGGCGUGCCUAAUACAUGCAGUCGAGCGGACAGAUGGGAGCUUGCUCCCUGAUGUUAGCGGCGGACGGGUGAGUAACACGUGGGUAACCUGCCUGUAAGACUGGGAUAACUCCGGGAAACCGGGGCUAAUACCGGAUGGUUGUUUGAACCGCAUGGUUCAAACAUAAAAGGUGGCUUCGGCUACCACUUACAGAUGGACCCGCGGCGCAUUAGCUAGUUGGUGAGGUAAUGGCUCACCAAGGCAACGAUGCGUAGCCGACCUGAGAGGGUGAUCGGCCACACUGGGACUGAGACACGGCCCAGACUCCUACGGGAGGCAGCAGUAGGGAAUCUUCCGCAAUGGACGAAAGUCUGACGGAGCAACGCCGCGUGAGUGAUGAAGGUUUUCGGAUCGUAAAGCUCUGUUGUUAGGGAAGAACAAGUACCGUUCGAAUAGGGCGGUACCUUGACGGUACCUAACCAGAAAGCCACGGCUAACUACGUGCCAGCAGCCGCGGUAAUACGUAGGUGGCAAGCGUUGUCCGGAAUUAUUGGGCGUAAAGGGCUCGCAGGCGGUUUCUUAAGUCUGAUGUGAAAGCCCCCGGCUCAACCGGGGAGGGUCAUUGGAAACUGGGGAACUUGAGUGCAGAAGAGGAGAGUGGAAUUCCACGUGUAGCGGUGAAAUGCGUAGAGAUGUGGAGGAACACCAGUGGCGAAGGCGACUCUCUGGUCUGUAACUGACGCUGAGGAGCGAAAGCGUGGGGAGCGAACAGGAUUAGAUACCCUGGUAGUCCACGCCGUAAACGAUGAGUGCUAAGUGUUAGGGGGUUUCCGCCCCUUAGUGCUGCAGCUAACGCAUUAAGCACUCCGCCUGGGGAGUACGGUCGCAAGACUGAAACUCAAAGGAAUUGACGGGGGCCCGCACAAGCGGUGGAGCAUGUGGUUUAAU